rnacentral:rRNA from 1 species
UACGAAGGGGGCUAGCGUUGUUCGGAAUUACUGGGCGUAAAGGGCGCGUAGGCGGUACUUCAAGUCAGGCGUGAAAGCCCCGGGCUCAACCUGGGAACCGCGCUUGAGACUGGCAUGCUCGAGUUCGGGAGAGGAUGGUGGAAUUCCCAGUGUAGAGGUGAAAUUCGUAGAUAUUGGGAAGAACACCGAUGGCGAAGGCAGCUCUCUGGGACGGUACUGACGCUGAGACGCGAAAGCGUGGGGAGCGAACAGG